UGGAAAAGCUCAGAUGGGUAAAGUGUGAGAUUGUUAAUCUUGCGGUCAUGGGUUCGAGCCCCACAGUGGACAA